rnacentral:rRNA from 1 species
UACGGAGGAUGCGAGCGUUAUCCGGAUUUAUUGGGUUUAAAGGGUGCGCAGGCGGGCUUUUAAGUCAGCGGUAAAAAUUCGGGGCUCAACCCCGUCCGGCCGUUGAAACUGGGGGCCUUGAGUGGGCGAGAAGAAGGCGGAAUGCGUGGUGUAGCGGUGAAAUGCAUAGAUAUCACGCAGAACCCCGAUUGCGAAGGCAGCCUUCCGGCGCCCUACUGACGCUGAGGCACGAAAGUGCGGGGAUCGAACAGG